CGUUGUCCUUUCUAGUUUUAAAAUCAUUAGCAUCCUUAACUUGAAAAAGAACGUUCCAGCCUAUUCAUUCAAAUUGCAGCAUAGUUCUUUCACUUUGAAGAUUAGUUCACGACAUUUGGAGUUCUCUUGGAGCAAAAGAAAAGUAUCCAGCAACUUUUCUUUGGAUGGAGCCCAUCCUAAAAAGGAAAAACGUUCCAACAACCAUUUUGUCGUCUUGGGGAAUAAACCUUUUGGAGGAAGAAAACUUGGCAGCAGCCCACAUCCCAUGUCAUUAAGAUUAAGAGUGUAAUUGAAAUGGUAAAGUCCCGUGGUGCAAUUGGUGCAAGAAAUUGUAGAAUCUGUCCUAAUUAAAUUAAGGUUGAAACACUUUGGACAGCGUAUACGUAUUGCGUUACGGAUAAGCGCUAAAGGUACAGAUGCUCACAUUGGUAACCCGCCAGCUUAGGAGUCCUAUUCAGCUAUCUUGGAGAGCUCCCUUGUUCCGGAGCCUAGAUUUUGGUACAGAAUCUCUUGUGGUGUAUGUGUAUUUUAUCCAGGGGUACGGCGGGGCCCUGUCCCGUCAUAUGAUACUGUUGUUACUCUUAGAGGUCUGUAGACAUACGUGUGGGUUGUGUAUCGAUGUUGUGCAGUUGUGUCUAUAUGGUUUAUGUUUUGGGACGUUCCCAUUCGUAGUGGCAGCCUUGUCGGCUUGCGUAGAUAUAUAUAUAUAUAUAUAUAUACAUGUUUUGAGAAGUAAUGUGUUAUGAUAGCCUUGUCGGCUCAUUUAUGGCGGGGAUGUUCCCUUAUAUAUUAUGAAAGCCUUGUCGGCUUAUGUACUAUAUUGUUUGUUGAAAGUUGUACCUCCCCAGGAGACAGGUUAUUAUGAUACGUCUAAAUAAUGCGACAGUUUUGAGGCGACGUCUUGCCUUGGUAUUGAUAAGUCUGUAUUAUGCUAGUUGUGGAUGAUUAUAGUUAACAGGUACAUACGAGUGUCCAGCUCGGGCACUAGUCACGGCCUACGGGGUUGGGUCGUGACAAAAGUGGUAUCAGAGCAGUUCAUCCUCGGAGUGUCUACAGACCGUGUCUAGUAGAGUCUUGUUUAUCGAUGUGUUGUGCACCACAUCUAUAAACAUGAGGCUACAAGACAUUUAGGAUGUUACCUUUCUUUCAUAUCUAAGAUCGUGCGAUAGAGCCCAGCCAUAGGAAAUGAAAUCCCUUAUACUAACCUUUGAUUUCAGCUGAAGAACGAGAUCGACAGAAGAAAGCGAUUGAUGAUAUUGGAAGCUACACAGUACGCAGGUAAGCAAUGGUGCGAAAGAGGCAUGUCGGAUAAGGUAAGAAUACUAAAACAUGAUUGAAAUGUAAAGUUGGAGGAUGAAAGAGAAGGUAGAUGGAAAGGUAUAACUGGACAGAUCGUUAAAGGAUCAGGUACGUUUCAAGGUGCGAUAUGUGAGGUAAGUCCCGACACCUUUAUACUUUUUCUGGAAACUGAGAAGCCCUGUGUGGCUAUAAUAAGAUAUGAUAUGUGCGUAUAUAUGUUGGCCCUGUGAGGCAUUGUUGGUAUCUCCUGUGUGCAGGUUCUGGGAUAGUAAGAAUUACAGAGGGGACUCUGCCCAAAUUUUCCCAAAAGUAGGAAAAAAAAAAGAAUGAGACAUAAGUUCAUAAUAGGUUAUGGAAGGGUGACACCAGUACGGUAAAUCUAUCAUGUUGGACUAGAAAAUUAACAAAAUAUACCCCCACCUCAUGCAUAAGAGGCAUCCUUCUUAUUUGGGGGACGUUGUGUUGAAGAUGCUUAUAUGAGCAGCAGAAUUUGGAAUUCAUUUGAAUGAACGAGAAUACCUACAGUCACAUUUUUUUGCCUAAAAAAAAAAAGAGCUUAUAUUGAAAGAUGAUGUUAUACCCCGUACAUUUAUACGACGAAUUAUCCGCAAGCAAAUCGACUCAAGUUAAAGGCGGAAUUAUUUUCGGACAUGAAAUAAGAGCUUUUAAUUUUUCAACUUUGAUUAUCACAAAAAUUGCUUAUAAAUUUUAUUUAGCAUAAAAAUAUUAAUAUUGGAGAUUAGGAAUUAAUUUAAUUAUCGAAAGUAGGCCCCACGACACGUGGCGAGAUUUGGUUGGCCUUGAAUAAAGAUGGACACAUGUCAUGAAAAUUGACACAUGUCCACUUUGUAAAGACUAUAUAAAUGAGCAUAAGUGGAUGACUACACUACAAUUAAUCUUGCAAAUUAGGUUUUAGAGAGAGGGGCUCUCAAGCCUAGAGAGAGAGAGAGGUUCGUGCACUGUUCACGGCGGCGCACUGUUCACGGGCACUGUUCACGGCCAGCCCAUUUUUGCCCCCUUCUACACAAUUAAUUGGAGAGAUUUGAAGAUCAAGAGGAGGAAAAAGAUGGAGCUCAUGGUAGCCAUGGCAACUCACGGCAUGGCUUUCUUGAAGACAUUUCACGGUGAAAAAUUAUAGCUUGUCUCUAAGGUAAGAUUUAAUUCUUUUCUACAUGUUUUGGAGGUAGUUUAGACUUGUAUAGCUUGGUAGAUGUGUGUUGAAUACAAACGGGUUAUGUAUGUUGAUGUUGAAUUAUAAAUUGAGCCGUGUAAGGGGGGUGUUUUGAGUAAGAAUGAGGAAUUUAUUUUAGUAGCAUUAUGUAGGAAUUAAAUGGUUAAAUUUAAAGUUGUGUUAUGGACAUAUUGCUAUCCUUGCUAAAUUGAAAGGAUUGAGGGUAUGAUUAUGUUCAUAUGAUUAUUGUUGUUGUUAUCAUGGGUUAUGUGAUGAGAAUGAAGGAAAUUAAUGGUUAGAAACUUUAUAGAGGUCGUGUGGGUGUGUGAAGAGGAGUGUGGCCGUGAGCCAUAGUAAUGAAAGAGAAUGGUGAAUUAAAAUUUAUUUAGCUUGUUAGAGGUGUCGUUGUGACAUUGAUGACGUAGAUAAAGGGUUAACGAGUUGAGUUGGUGUUGAAAUUGGUUGUAUGUUGUUAUGAGAAAAUAUGUGAUUUUUAUAUAAUUUUUAUGCAAUUAUGAAAGUAAGAUGCUAAAUGUGAACUAUGGUUGUUAUUAAUGAAUUUGGAAGAAAACAAUGCGAUUUGGUAGUUUCGUUGCAAUUGUAGAAGUUUCGAAUGGAAUAUGGAAAUGGGCGGAAUGGUUCGAAUCCUUGGAUAUUGUUUAAAAUGUUAUUGAAAUAUGUUUGGGUAAUCUUGAGUUAGUUAAUGAAUAUGGAAAAAUGUUGAUAUUAGUUGGAUGGUGUGAAGUUAGAAUGGAAGAGUUACAUUAUGUGGAAAGGAAGGGAAAAUUUUUGGAUUGUUGGAAAUGUUGUAUGAAUUGCUUAGAAUGUCUUUAAGUAUUGUUGGUAUGGAUUCGGGUUAGUAUUUAAAUAUAUAAGCAUCGAUGUUGGCUUGAAGGUAAGUCGUCGAGUUGAAUUUAUGAAAGUUGUUGAAUGAUGUAAAAGAGAGUUACUAUUAUUAUUUUGCCUUUCGAAUUGGUUAUCAAUGUUACUAGGUUGGUUAUUGUGGUUGUUGUUGUUGUUGAUUUUGAGCGAGAUAAAUUCUCGGGAUGGCCUAUUUACAAGGGAAGUGCUGCCGAAUUUUCUGUAGAAUUUAAUGAUUAGUUUGGAAUGAAUGGCUUAAGUGCCCUUAGCUAAUGAUUGGUAUUCGUUGGCGUAAUUGUAGACCUUGGGGAGCCCGAGGCGUAGAUUUGGAUUAGCUUUAGAUUGACUAUCUUGGAAGUGCGUUCGAGGUAUGUAAAGCUAUCCCUUUUCUUCUUUUGGCAUGUCCUAGGUGUACUAGGAUCGGAUUCGAGCCUCGGAAAAUAUUCUGCUCAUCGGAAUCCGCAUUUGAAAAUAUCCCUCUUUUAUUCAAUAGAAUUGAACCCUUUUUGUAUGCUUUCUUGAAAAUUAUGCAAACCUUCCCCAAACUUUAUGAAAAGUUAUAUAAUGUCCGUAGAACCUUCGUAGGUGACCCCAUAAGCCUAAAAUGAGUAAUUUGAGCCCACCGCCUUGCUUGUCCCAAGGUGGGCCCACUAGUCCCGGUUUUACCCUUAUUGUACUUAAGGCUCGUUUUCGAGCAGUUUUUGGAAAGAAAUGUUCUGACUACUCUUUUAACUACUAAACAAAAAUUGUUUUAAAUAAUUCAUUAAGUCUUAUAAAUUGUUUUGGCACUCGGAACAACUUCAGAAAGGUUAUGCUUCUGUAAUUCAUUAUGACAUCCGAAACUCACUUAUUAUGAUCCCGUCUGACUUCAUUGAAUUGGUUUGUCAUUGAUAUGCCUCAUCGAGUCUCUGAAAAUAUUUAUGAUAUUUUAACUGCAUUUAGUUUCUCACUACUCUAUUCGUGGAUGCCCUAAUGUUUCCCACACUGAGCCCGGGCCAGGAUAUGUUGUCAAGCGUAAUCCUCUGCAUUGUUCGCCGUGCCUCGAUGUGAGGGGGCAGGUAUACGUGUACAUGGGUUUGUGGAGUAUGCUAUGCCAUGUACACAUGUUCUGAUAUGAUUUGCCAUGGCCAUCUGAUAUGAUAUACUAUGUUACGGGGUUAUGCCCCUAUUCUGAUUCUUCUGUGUUGUGGCACCAGCGUCGGGAGGGUGGCCACGUUCUGUCUGCCGAGUCCCUUGGCAGGGGCCGGAUUUGAUAUGACAUAUGUUUCUGUACACACUCCGCAUGUUUUGAAAAUAUGUAUUUGAUACUUUGGAUUUUCUACUCACUUUUUCUGUACGUUCUGUACCAGUUAUGAUUUUGUUUCUGUAAUUCAGGCUUUACAUAUUCAGUACAUAUUUCGUACUGACCCCCUUUCUUCGGGGGCUGCGUUUUCAUGCCGCGCAGGUACCGACGAUAGGUUUGCUGAUUCGUCCGUCUAGGAUAUCUUUUCUGCCAUUUGGAGCGCUCUUUUAUUCAGAGCCCAUCUUUUGGUACAGUCUGUCACUACUGUAUAUAUAUAUUCUCGUUCAUGGGUACGGCGGGGCCCUGUCCCGUCAUAUGAUUCUGUCGGUCUGUUUAGAGGUCUGUAGACAUGUUUGUGGGUUGGGGUCUUUCGGUACGGAUGCGUGUAUAUGUUGUGUUUGGGCGAUCCCAUUCGCCGCGGCGGCCGGUCCGCAUAUGUUUAAAUGUUGCUUUGUUGGCCCUGGGUGGUCAUUGUUGGUAUUAUCUGUGCGCAGGGCUAAUUUGGAUAGUCUGUAAAACAAAGGAAACUCUGCCGAAAUUUUUCUGGAAAUUAUCUAAAUUUGAAAUAUAGCCUUGUCGGCUUCUGCUAUAUACUUGAAUGCGUUUGAUAAAAUUUGAGAUAACAUUUGAUAGAUGUGUUUGGGUGCCCAGAUCGGGCACUAGUCAC